UAGUCCACGCCGUAAACGAUGUCAACUAGCCGUCGGGCUCAUAUAAGGGUUUGGUGGCGCAGCUAACGCGAUAAGUUGACCGCCUGGGGAGUACGCCGGCAACGGUAAAACUCAAAGGAAUUGACGGGGCCCGCACAAGCGGUGGAGCAUGUGGUUUAAUUCGAUGCAACGCGAAGAACCUUACCUACCCUUGACAUCCUCAGAACUUGUUAGAGAUAACUUGGUGCCUUCGGGAAUUGAGUGACAGGUGCUGCAUGGCUGUCGUCAGCUCGUGUCGUGAGGUGUUGGGUUAAGUCCCGCAACGAGCGCAACCCUUGCCCUUAGUUACCAUCAGUUCGGCUGGGAACUCUAAGGGGACUGCCGGGUCAACCCGGAGGAAGGUGGGGAUGGACGUCAAGUCCUCAUGGCCCUUAUGUCUGGGGGCUACACACGUGCUACAAUGGGUCGGUACAGA
rnacentral:rRNA from 1 species